UCAAACUUGGUCAUUUAGAGGAAGUAAAAGUCGUAACAAGGUCUCCGUUGGUGAACCAGCGGAGGGAUCAUUACCGAGUUUUCAAACUCCCAAACCCAAUGUGAACGUUACCCAAUCGUUGCUUCGGCGGCUCCCUCACAGGUGCCGCCGGAGGCCAUUGAAACUCUUUUUGUAUCUUGCAGUGGCAUCUGUCUGAGUAGUUAGCCUCCGGGCGAAAAAAUGAAUCAAAACUUUCAACAACGGAUCUCUUGGUUCUGGCAUCGAUGAAGAACGCAGC
rnacentral:misc_RNA from 1 species